AACGAACGCUGGCGGCAUGCCUAACACAUGCAAGUCGAACGAGACCUUCGGGUCUAGUGGCGCACGGGUGCGUAACGCGUGGGAACCUGCCCUUAGGUUCGGAAUAACUCCCCGAAAGGGGUGCUAAUACCGGAUAAUGUCCUCGGACCAAAGAUUUAUCGCCUUUGGAUGGGCCCGCGUUGGUUUAGCUAGGUGGUAGGGUAAAAGCCUACCACGGCGACGAUCCAUAGCUGGUCUGAGAGGAUGAUCAGCCACACUGGGACUGAGACACGGCCCAGACUCUUACGGGAGGCAGCAGUGGGGAAUAUUGGACAAUGGGCGAAAGCCUGAUCCAGCUAUGCCGCGUGAGUGAUGAAGGCCUUAGGGUUGUAAAGCUCUUUUACCCGGGAUGAUAAUGACAGUACCGGGAGAAUAAGCUCCGGCUAACUCCGUG
rnacentral:rRNA from 1 species